GCCUUGGUGAUGUAGUGGUAGAGCACGCUUGCCCGGAUAGGAUGAACCGCGGGUUCGAUUCCCGCCUGAGGCC